rnacentral:rRNA from 1 species
GCGUUGCUCGGAAUCACUGGGCGUAAAGGGCGCGUAGGCGGCCGAUUAAGUCGGGGGUGAAAGCCUGUGGCUCAACCACAGAAUUGCCUUCGAUACUGGUUGGCUUGAGACCGGAAGAGGACAGCGGAACUGCGAGUGUAGAGGUGAAAUUCGUAGAUAUUCGCAAGAACACCAGUGGCGAAGGCGGCUGUCUGGUCCGGUUCUGACGCUGAGGCGCGAAAGCGUG